UACGAAGGGUGCAAACGUUGCUCGGAAUUAUUGGGCGUAAAGCGCACGUAGGCGGCUUGGCAAGUCGGAUGUGAAAUCCCUCGGCUCAACCAAGGAAGUGCAUCCGAAACUGCUGAGCUUGAGUACUUAAGAGGAUCGCGGAAUUCCCGGUGUAGAGGUGAAAUUCGUAGAUAUCGGGAGGAACACCAAUGGCGAAGGCAGCUCGCUGGGACGGUACUGACGCUGAGACGCGAAAGCGUGGGGAGCGAACAGG
rnacentral:rRNA from 1 species